GAUUGCCCUGAAUGUUCAAUUAGACUGUCCAUGGUUAAAAAGAAAAAGUCAGCCAUACACCAAAUAAAACAUCCCUGAGCAGUGAGCAUUCAAAAUUUAAUCACACCUCCCCCUUCCCCAGAGACACCUCGCUGGGUGAUUUCAAUCUACACAAAAGGUACUCAUUGUAUUUUUGGAUUCAUCAACAAACUUUGUCAAAUGGUGAAGGAAGAAAGAUUACAAAUAUGAAGUUCAACAGAUCCAGGUGUUUUGGACAUUCAUUUGGAUUCUAGAAAUGGCUUAUGUUGCUGCUGGCUUAGUGGGAGCAACUUCAUCCAUCACUUGGAGUAAAUAUGCAACGGAGCUAUUUCAUUUAAAGAUGGAAUGUAAAUUGAGCGUCAAAACUAAGAAUGGCAAUUUUACAUAAGCUCAAAAUGCUCCGGAGGUCGCCCACAGUCGAGGAAUAAGAGGUUGAAGAAAAAUACACUUACAUAUAGAUAGCACUUGUGAAGAAUCUUUUAAUCCGCAAAAGUGUUACUGUAUCCUUUUAAACCGUUCUUUACUUAUUUUCCUAAUAAGAAGAUGAUGAUAAUUGAAAAAAUCUAGAGUAGUUUUAGUGUGCCUUAAUGAUGAUAGAUGGAAUGGAGUGAACCAUUUAUUCAAAUAUUCAUAAAAUUUGUUGUUGGUUUUG